rnacentral:lncRNA from 13 species
AUGCAAGAAAGAACAUUCUCUUGGCUUAACAAGGUUGCCUUUAUUUUAUUUUUCACAAACAUAACAUCACAUAAUUCAACAUCUACCUCAGUGAUGGAUGAAAUUACCAAGUAUGUUUCAAAAAUCCCAAGUGAAACAUCACUGCCUGUAACCAGUCAGAUGUCAAUGAGUACCACUGUUUCUUCAACUCCAACAGCAAAUACCAAUCAAUCCAUAGAAAGUAUAGCUUCCACUACAUCAAGUAGUGAUUCCAUCACUUGCUCUAAUACAUCAACAUUGGCAGUCCCUUCAAGUGAUGCCACCACUCCCUCAACAGUCACUUUUCCCUCCACUACAUCAGCAGUAACAUCAACUGUGGCCAACAUUCCUUCUACUACUUCGAAAGUCACCUCAAGUGAUGCCACCAAUCCCUCAACUAUGUCUACAGUCACUUCAAGUGAUCCCGCAACUCCCACUAAUUCAUUGACAGUCACAAGUGAUGUCACAACUCCCUCAACUACAUCAAUAGUCACUUCAAGUGAUCCCAAAACUCUGACUUCUACAUUGACAGUCAAAAGUGAUGCCACCACUCGGUCUACUAUGUCUACAGUCAUUUCAAGUGAUCCCAAAACUUCCACUACUACAUUGACAGUCACUAGUGAUGCCAUCAUUCGCUCUGCUAUAUCGACAUUGACAGUCCCUUUAAUAAGUGAUGCCACCUCUCCCUCUACCAUGUAUACAGUUACUUUAAGUGGCAACACAUCAACACCUACUUCAAGUGAUGCCACCCCUCCCUCAACAGUCACUUCAACUCAUGUAACUUCUCCCUCAACUAUGUCUACAGUCACUUCAAUUGAUACCACCCCUACUACAUCAACAGUCACAAAUGAUGCCCUCACUCGCUCUACUACAUUGAUAUCAAAAUUACAUUCAAGUGAUGCCACUAAUACCUCAACAGUCACUUCAAAUGAUAACAAAACUCCCUCAAUAGUCACUUCAAGUGAUGCCACUACUCCCUCGACUAUGUUGACAGUCACUUCAAGUGAUGCCACCACUCCCUCAACAGUCACUUCAAGUGAUCCCUCAACUCCCACCACUACAUCGACAUUGACAGUCUCUUCAAAGGACGCCACCACUCUUUCAACAGUCACUUCAAGUGAUGCUACAUCAACACACACUUCAAGUAAUGCCACCACUCCCUCACCCAAAUCAACAGUGUCUUCAAGUAAUGCCACCACUCCCUCACCCAAAUCAACAGUGUCUUCAAGUAAUGCCACCACUCCCUCACCCAAAUCAACAGUGUCUUCAAGUAAUGCCACCACUCCCUCACCCAAAUCAACAGUGUCUUCAAGUGAUUCCACCAAUCCCUCAACUACGUCAACAGUCACAAGUGAUGCCAUCACUCAUUCUACUAAAUCGACAUUGACAGUCCUUUCAAGUGAUGCCAUCACUCCCUCAACAGUCACUUCAAGUAAUGCCACCACUACGACAUUAACAGUCACUUCAAGUGAUAGUACAUCAACACCCACUUCAAUUGAUGCCACCACUCCCUCAACAGCAUCCCCAGUCAUUCAAAGUAAUACCAUUACUCCCUCAGCUACAUCGACAUUCACUUCAAGUCAUACCACCACCACCACUACAUCGACAGUAACAUCAACUGUGGCCACCACUCCCUCAACUACAUCAACAGUCACUUCAAGGGAUGCCAACACUCCCUUAACAGUCUCUUCAUGUGAUGUCACUACUCCCUCAACUACAUCAAUAGUCACUUCAAGUGAUGCCACCACUACUCCAUCAACAACAGCAGUCACUUCAAGCGUUGCCACCGCUCCUUCAACAUUCACUUCAAGUGAUGCCACCACUGCUACACCAACAGUAGCUUCAACUGCAGCCACCAUUCCCUCAACUACAUCGACAGUCACUUCAGAUGAUACUACAUCAACACCCACUUCAAGUGAUGCCACCACUCCCUCAACUGCAUCGACAUCAACUUCAAAUGAUGCCACAACUACUACACUGACAUUAACAGUCAUUUCAAGCGAUUCCACCACUCCCUCAUCUACAUCAAUAGUCACUUCUCGUGAUGCCACAGCUACUACAUCAACAUCAGCAUUCACUUCAAGUGAUGCCACCUCUCCCUCGACAUCAAUAUUUACUUCAAUUGAUGCCACCUCUCCCUCGACAUCAACAGUCACUUUAAGUGAUGCCACCUCUCCCUCAACUACAUUGACUUUCACUUCAAGUGUUACCACCACUACUACACCAACAGAAAUAUUAACUGUGGCCACAAUUCCUUCAACUACAUUGACAGUCACUUCAAGUGAUGACACCACUGCUUCAACAGUCACUCCAAGUGAUGCCACCAAUCCCUCAACUACAUCAACAUCAACUUCAAGAGAUGCCACCACUGCUACAUCGACAUUAACAGUCACUUCAAUUCAUAACACCACUAUUACAUCAACAUCAGCAGUCACUUCAAGUCAUGCCACCGCUACAACAUCAAUUUCAGUAGUCUCUUCAAGUGAUGACACCACUCCCUCAACAGUCCCUCCAAGUGAUGCCACCAAUCCCUCAACUGCAUCGACAUCAACUUCAAGAGAUGCCACCACUACUACAUCGACAUUAACAGUCAUUUUAAGCGAUUUCACCACUCCCUCAGAAACCACUUCAAGUCAUGCCACCACUCCCUCAUCUACAUCAAUAGUCACUUCAAGUGAUGCCACAGCUACUACAUCAACAUCAGCAGUCACUUCAAGCGAUAUCACUGUUCCUUCAACAUUUACUUCAAGUGGUGCCACCGCUACUACAUCAGCAUCAGCAUUCAGUUCAAGUGAUGCCAUCUCUCCCUCGACAUCAACAGUCUCUUCAAGUGAUGCCACCAGUACUAUAUCAACAUCAGCAGUCUCUUCAAGUGAUGCCACCAAUCCCUCAACUGCAUCGACAUCAACUUCAAAUGAUGCCCCCACUCCCUCAUCUACAUCAGCAGUCACUUCAAGCAAUAACACUGUUCCUUCAACAUUCAGUUCAAGUGGUGCCACCGCUACUACAUCAACAUCAGCAUUCAGUUCAAGUGAUGCCAUCUCUCCCUCGACAUCAACAGUCACUUUAAGUGAUGGCAGCACUCCCUCAACAGUCUCUUCAAGUGAUGCCACCACUCCCUCAACUGCAUCGACAUCAACUUCAAAUGAUGCCACCACUCCCUCAUCUACAUCAGCAGUAACUUCAAGCGAUAACACUGUUCCGUCAACAUUCACUUCAAGUGGUGCCAAAGCUACUACAUCAACUUCAGCAUUCACUUCAAGUGAUGCCACCUCUCCCUUAACAUCAAUAUUCACUACAAGUGAUGGCACCUCUCUCUCGACAUCAAUAUUUACUUCAAUUGAUGCCACCACUCCCCCAACAGUAGCUUCAAGUGAUGCCACCGCUACUACAUCAACAUCAGCAGUCUCUUCAAGUGAUGCCACCACUCCCUCGACAUCAAUAUUCACCUCGAAUAAUGCCACCUCUCACUCAACUACAUUGACAGUCACUUCAGACGAUACUACAUCAACACCCACUUCAAGUGAUGCCACCACACCCUCAAGUACAUUGACAGUCAGUUCCAGUUUUGCCACCACUCUGUCAACAGUCACUUCAGGUGAUGCCACCUCUUCCUCAACUACAUCAACGGUCACUUCAGGUGAUGCCACCACUACUACACCAAGAGUAACUUCAAAUGCUGCCAUCAUUCCCUCAACUACAUCAACACCCACUUCAAGUGAUACCACCACUCCCUCAAGUACAUCGACAGUCAGUUCCAGUUUUACCACCACUCUGUCAAUAGUCACUUCAGGUGAUGCCACCACUACUACACCGACAGUAACAUUAACUGUGGACAGAAUUCCCUCAACUACGUCGACAGUCAGGUCAAGUGAUGCCACCACUGCCUCAACAGUCACUUCAAGUCAUGAUACCAAUGUUACAUCAACAUCAGCAGUAACUUCAAGCGAUGCCACCGCUCCUUCAACAUUCACUUCAAGUGGUGCCACCACUCCCUCAACAGUAGCUUCAAGUGAUGCCACCGCUACUGCAUCAACAUCAGCAGUCUCUUUAAGUGAUGCCACCACUCCUUCUACAGUCACUUCAAGCAAUCCCACCACUCCCUCAACAGUCACUUCAAGUGAUGCCACCUCUCCUUCUACAUUCACUUCAAGCAAUCCCACCACUCCCUCAACAGUCACUUCAAGUGAUGCCACCACUCCCUCAUCUACAUCAAUAGUCACUUCAAGUGAUGCCACAGCUACUACAUCAACAUCAGCAGUCACUUCAAGCGAUAUCACUGUUCCUUCAACAUUUACUUCAAGUGGUGCCACCGCUACUACAUCAGCAUUCAGUUCAUAUGAUGCCACCUCUCCCUCGACAUCAAUAUUCACUUCAAUUGAUGCCACCUCUCCUUCUACAUUCACUUCAAGCAAUCCCACCACUCCCUCAACAGUCACUUCAAGUGAUGCCACCUCUCCCUCGACAUCAAUCUUCACUUCAAGUGAUGCCACCUCUCACUCAACUACAUCGAUAGUCACUUCAGACGAUACUACAUCAACAACCACUUCAAAUGUUGCCACCACUGCCUCAACAGUCACUUCAAGUGAUGCCAUCACUCCCUCAACUACACAGAUAGUAACUUCAGAAAAUGCCACAUGGACACCCACUUCAGGUGAUGCAACCUCUUCCUCAACUACAUCAACAUUCACUUCAAGUGGUGCCACCAUUCCCUUAACAGUAACUUUAAGUGAUGCCACCUCUCCCUCAACUACAUUGACUUUCACUUCAAGUGUUACCACCACUAUUACACCGACAGAAAUAUUAACUGUGGCCACAAUUCCUUCAACUACAUUGACCGUCACUUCAAGUGAUGACACUACUGCUUCAACAGUCACUCCAAGUGAUGCCACCAAUCCCUCAACUACAUCAACAUCAACUUCAAGAUAUGCCACCACUACUACAUCGACAUUAACAGUCAUUUCGAGCGAUUCCACCACUCCCUCAGAAACCACUUCAAGUCAUGCCACCACUACUACAUCAACAUCAGCAGUCACUUCAAGCGAUAACACUGUUCCUUCAACAUUUACUUCAAGUGGUGCCACCGCUACUACAUCAGCAUCAGCAUUCAGUUCAAUUGAUGCCAUCUCUCCCUCGACAUCAACAGUCUCUUCAAGUGAUGCCACCGCUACAAUAUCAACAUCAGCAGUCUCUUCAAGUGAUGCCACCAAUCCCUCAACUGCAUCGACAUCAACUUCAAAUGAUGCCACCACUCCCUCAUCUACAUCAGCAGUCACUUCAAGCAAUAACACUGUUCCUUCAACAUUCAGUUCAAGUGGUGCCACCGCUACUACAUCAACAUCAGCAUUCAGUUCAAGUGAUGCCAUCUCUCCCUCGACAUCAACAGUCACUUUAAGUGAUGGCAGCACUCCCUCAACAGUCUCUUCAAGUGAUGCCACCUCUCCCUUAACAUCAAUAUUCACUACAAGUGAUGGCACCUCUCUCUCGACAUCAAUAUUUACUUCAAUUGAUGCCAGCACUCCCUCAACAGUAGCUUCAAGUGAUGCCACCGCUACUACAUCAACAUCAGCAGUCUCUUCAAGUGAUGCCACCACUCCCUCGACAUCAAUAUUCACUUCAAAUAAUGCCACCUUUCACUCAACUACAUCGACAGUCACUUCAGACGAUACUACAUCAACAUCCACUUCAAGUGAUGCCACCACUCCCUCGACAUCAAUAUUCACUUCAAAUAAUGCCACCUUUCACUCAACUACAUUGACAGUCACUUCAGACGAUACUACAUCAACAUCCACUUCAAGUGAUGCCACCACACCCUCAAGUACAUUGACAGUCAGUUCAAGUGUUGCCAGCACUCUGUCAACAGUCACUUCAAGUGAUGCCACCACUCCCUCAUCUACAUCAAUAGUCACUUCAAGUGAUGCCACAGCUACUACAUCAACAUCAGCAGUCACUUCAAGCGAUAUCACUGUUCCUUCAACAUUUACUUCAAUUGAUGCCACCUCUCCUUCUACAUUCACUUCAAGCAAUCCCACCACUCCCUCAACAGUCACUUCAAGUGAUGCCACCACUCCCUCAUCUACAUCAAUAGUCACUUCAAGUGAUGCCACAGCUACUACAUCAACAUCAGCAGUCACUUCAAGCGAUAUCACUGUUCCUUCAACAUUUACUUCAAGUGGUGCCACCGCUACUACAUCAGCAUUCAGUUCAAGUGAUGCCAUCUCUCCCUCGACAUCAACAGUCACUUUAAGUGAUGCCACCACUCCCUCAACAGUAGCUUCAAGUGAUGCCACCACUAAGUUGACAGUCACUUCAAGUGUUGAAACUAGUCCCGAGACACCAACACUAACUUCAACUGUGGCCACCAUUCCCUCUAUUGCUUCAAAAGUAAUCUCAACUGAUGCCACCAAUCCCUCAACUGUGUUAACAUUCUCAUCAAGUUAUGCCACAACUCCCUCAACUACAUUGAAAGUCACAAGUGAUGCCAUCACUCGCUCUACAACAUUGAUAAUGACAGACCCUUCAAAUGAUGCCACCUCUCCCUCAAGAGUCACUUCAAGUGAUACCACAACUCCCUUUUCUACAUUGACAGUCACUUCAAGUGAUAACACCUCUGCCUCGACAACAACAGUCCCUUCAAGUGUUGCCAACACUCCCUCGACAUUAACAUUCACUUUAAGUGAUGCCACCUCUCCCUUGACAUCAACAGUUACUUCAAGUAAUGCCACCUUUUCCUGGACAUCAACUGUCACAUCAAGUGAUGCCACCCCUUCCUCAACUAACUCUGUCUCUUCAAGUGAUGCCACCUCACCCUCGACAUCAACAGUCACUUCAAGUGAUGCCACCACUACAUCAACAGUCACUUCAAGUGAUGUCCCCAAUACAUCAACAGUUACUUCAAGUGAUGCUACCACUACAUCAACAGUCUCUUCAAGUGAUGCCCCCACUCCCUCGACAUCAACAGUCACUUCAAGUGAUAGCACAAAUACAUCAACAGUUUCUUCAAGUGAUGCCACCACUCCCUCGACAUUGACAGUCACUUCAAGUGAUGCAAACUCUCCAUCAAAUACAUCUACAGUCACGCCAAGUAAUGCCACCUCUACCUCGACAUCAACAGUCACACCAAGUGAUGCCACCACUACAUCGACAGUCUCUUCAAGUGAUGCCACCACUCCCUCGACAUCAACAGUCACUUCAAGUGAUGCCACCUCUCCCUCGNNNNNNNNNNGUGAUGCUACCACUACAUCGACAGUCCCUUCAAGUGAUACCAAAACUCCCUCGACAUUAACAGUCACUUCAAGUAAUGCCACGUCUCCCUCGACAUCAACAGUCACUUCAAGUGAUACUACCACUACAGCAACAGUCACUUCAAGUGAUGCCACCACUACAUCGACAGUAUCUUCAAAUGAUACCAACUCUCCCUCGACUUCAACAGUCACUUCAAGUGAUGCCAACACCACAUCAACAGUCACUUCAAGUGAUCCUACCACUACAUCGACUGUCCCUUCAAGUGAUACCACCACUACCUCAACAAUAACAGUCACUUCAAGUAAUGCCACGUCUCCCUCAACAUCAACAGUCACUUCAAGAAAUGCCACCAACACAUCGACAGUCUCUACAAGUGAUGCCUCCACUCCUUCGACAUCAACAGUCACUUCAAGAAAUGCCACCAAUACAUCAACAGUCACUUCAAGUGAUGCUACUACUACAUUGACAGUCACUUCAAGUUAUGCUACCACUACAUUGACAGUCUCUUCAAGUGAUAGCACCACACCCUCAACAUCAAGAGUCACUUCAAGAAAUGCCACGUCUCCCUCGACAUCAACAGUCACUUCAAGUGAUUCCACCAAUACAUCGACAGUCACUUCAAGUGAUGCCUCCACUUCUUCAACUUCAACAGUCACUUCAAGUGAUGCCACCAAUACAUCAACAUUCACUUCAAGUGAUGCUACCACUACAUUGACAGUCACUUCAAGUGAUGCUUCCACUAUAUCGACAGUCACUUCAAGUGAUCCCACCACUACCU